GGCGGACACGACGGAGGUUUCGCCGCCGGUUACGGAGGACAUGGAGGUUAUGACGGCGGUCACGGACACGCCAGCAGCUACUCCACUUUCACAAGGGUUUCACAUCCAGUGAAAGUUGCCAAAAUCGUCUCAGGAGGUUUCGGCAAAUACGGUGCCAGCGGCCACGGCUGGUAAAUCAUCACCACCACCACCAUCAGACCACCAGGGCGAGCAUUCAACUAAAUUGUUCAAAACCAACAAAAUGUACAAAUUCUUUCCCGAUUACGAAAAGUACGAACC